UUUGAUCCUGGCUCAGGACGAACGCUGGCGGCGUGCCUAAUACAUGCAAGUCGAGCGGACAGAAGGGAGCUUGCUCCCGGAUGUUAGCGGCGGACGGGUGAGUAACACGUGGGUAACCUGCCUGUAAGACUGGGAUAACUCCGGGAAACCGGAGCUAAUACCGGAUAGUUCCUUGAACCGCAUGGUUCAAGGAUGAAAGACGGUUUCGGCUGUCACUUACAGAUGGACCCGCGGCGCAUUAGCUAGUUGGUGAGGUAACGGCUCACCAAGGCGACGAUGCGUAGCCGACCUGAGAGGGUGAUCGGCCACACUGGGACUGAGACACGGCCCAGACUCCUACGGGAGGCAGCAGUAGGGAAUCUUCCGCAAUGGACGAAAGUCUGACGGAGCAACGCCGCGUGAGUGAUGAAGGUUUUCGGAUCGUAAAGCUCUGUUGUUAGGGAAGAACAAGUGCAAGAGUAAC
rnacentral:rRNA from 1 species